ACGUUGUUCGGAAUCACUGGGCUUAAAGGGCGCGUAGGCGGGCUGUCAAGUCUGGGGUGAAAUCCCGCGGCUCAACCGUGGAACUGCCUCAGAUACUGACGGCCUCGAGGGAGGUAGGGGCAUGCGGAACUGUAGGUGGAGCGGUGAAAUGCGUUGAUAUCUACAGGAACUCCGGUGGCGAAGGCGGCGUGCUGGACCUCUUCUGACGCUGAGGCGCGAAAGCUAG
rnacentral:rRNA from 1 species